GUCUUCCCUUUAAAAACUCCAACCUCUCUCUCUCUGUCUCUCUGUCUCUCUCUCUCUCUCUCUCUCUCUCUCUCUCUCUCUCUCUCUCUCCUUUCUCUGUUUCUUCUUGGCUCUCUAUGGCCACCGGCCAUGCCAGUCAGCCAUUACCGCUGUUCCUCUUCUCUCUCGGUCUCCCUACUCUGCCGGGCUAUAUAAUAAACUAGUCAACAUGUCUCAUUUUAAAGCUUUCUCUUUUCCUUUUUUUUUAAAAUAAAAACCUAACAGACCAGCUCCCAAAUUAUGACAUGAGAUUCUUAUUAGUCAUGAAUGCUUGGCCUAGCUUAGGCUCAUUUUUGGUGAGCCCUUUUAACUUUAAUUAACCUGUUUCUCUUUAUCAACCUUUUGCCUUGCGCCUUUUUCCUUUUCUUCUGUAUAUCUUACUUUCACUGCUUCUUUUGUCUGGCUGGCUGGUGGCUGCCUGGCUUCUUGGCUCAGCCAUGUCCCUCUCCUUAUUCUCUCCUCCUUAGUCUUUCCUCUCUUUCUGCCUGCCAGCCUCUCCUAGCCUUUCUUUGUCUAGCUAUUGGGUGUUCAGCUUUUUACUAGACCCAUCAGGUGCCUUGGGCAGGCAAGAAGAGGACCUUGCCCUGGGCUGGAAGCAACCACCCUUAAAUGCAGAAAUGAGGUUGAGCUCACUCUGGGGUCUAGCAGCCGGAAUGCCCUCUUGCUGAGAUUCAGAACAGAUGAAUCAACCCCACAGCAGCCCUCUGAGGACAAGGCCACAGCAGGGCUCCUUCAGUGCUACCCCACCCCCAGCUUGGUGAACAGUGGAGAACUCUGCCUGCCAGAAGGGCUGGGAGGAUUUAUGCAACAGACUGCACAUAUUUAAGUCAUGGGAGCCUGUCUGCAGCUCAUGGCGCAUAGGCUGCUUAGUUUCACUGUAGAAGAAGACAAGCCAUGUCGAUCUUCUCCAAAUCACUUAGGCUUCCCAGGUGCCACUGUUUCUUCAUGCGCCUAUACUGGCCUCUCUCUGCCUACUUCCUGUCUGCCCAUUGGAGGUUGUGGGACUUGCAGAAUCAUCACACGAGGCUGCAUCUUAGCGCUCACUUGUGAAGGCGGGAGAUCCACGAUGGGGCAGCUGUAUCUGCUGAGUGUUUGGUGAAGCCUGGGGCAUGAGAAGCGGAGGGAGCAGGCACUCAUGGAGACAAAUACUCAGAAUAACGGAGCUUCAGAACAACCUUGUCAAGGACUAAUGCAGUCCCAGGAGAGGGAGAGCUCACCCACUCCCAAGAUGGAAGCAAUCUAUUCACGGUGAUGCCAUCUCCAUAAAUCAAACACCUCCCACUCUCCACGCUAACUGACAAGGCAGGAGGCCCCAGCAUGAGUUUUGAUGGGAAUAAACCAUAUUCAAAUGAUACAGCUAUUACUUAUAAAAAUCCUCAAAAGCAUCAACAAAAAUAUAGGUUUUUGCAGUGGAAUGAUUAGUUCAGACUCAUGCUUAAGUGCUCAGCUUUUGAUGAAAUGGAGAAUUACCUGCCAGUCUCCCUCUUCAUGCAAAGGGUUUGUGUUGUACCUCACAAAAUGGGACUGCUCGGCUGCUUAACAACAAACGUGCUCAGCUCUAAGGUCUUUCCAGCAGAUGGACCUCAAGUGUGAACUACCUCUUGCAGGUGCUUGUGUUAGAGGCGUGUCCAGAGUGGCCCCAAAGCCUCCACAGCUGUGCCACCUCAUCAGGGGGCCCUAUGCCCUCAGAUUCUCUCAAGAGGGAGGAAGAAAUAAAGACAGCCAUCAGACUAAAAAUAGUAUAAAUUAAAAGUGGGCAAUUUCCCCUCUGUGUUUUGUUGAAAUAUUUCUCUUUCUCUCAAUAUAAGUGAUUGUCUGGAUCUGCAGCCUACCACACUCACAGAUUCAAUGAACAUGAGAUAAAAGCAUUCCAAAUCAAACCAAAUCUUUACUGAGCUUGUACAGGCUCUUCCUGUGUUACUCCCUAAGCAGUACAUUAUGGUAACUAUUCACAUGUCUCAUUGUAUUGGAGGACAUCGUUAAGUCAGAAAUGGUUCAUGUGUACAGGAUAGGCAUAGGUUACAUGCAGCAACUAUACCACUUUAUAUUAAAGAUUUAAGUAGUUUUGGUGUUCAAGGAAGACCCUACAUGCACCUCCCUCCAGUAAAUAACAAGGGAUUAUUGGAUCCUCUUUUUAUUUUUUCAGGUUUUAACUUUCCAGGCACCUGUGAUAGUUUAAUUCCUCCACAUGGGUGAAGUCAGGAAUACCUAGGGCAUACCUUUGGGUGUUUCUGUGAGAGUGUUUCUGAGAGGAUUAGCUGUGGGACAGAAGCUCUACCUUGAAUGUGGGCUGCACCAUUGCUUGGACUAGGGUCCAUAACAGAAUAAAUAUGGAAAAAAUGAGAACACCAGCUGAGUCGUGGCCUGAACCUUUCUCUGCUUCCUGAUUAUGCCAUGAACUAGGCCACUUCAGUAUCAAUCCUUCCCUAUUGUGAUGGACUGGACCCUCUCAAACCUUAAGCCAAAACAAAGGCUCUUUCCAUAUGUUACUUUUGGCCAGUAUUUGGUCAUAGGAGCAAAAAAGUAAGGAUUGUAGCACCUUUUCCUGCUCCUGGUAAAACUACUCCUUUACUAACAAGUAACUUGGAUGAAUGGACACCCUAAACUUUAGUUUUCUAAUCUGCAAAGUGGAUAUGAGUUCAAGCUUGAGGUUAUGAGAACAAGAUUAUUUAAUUCAACUAAAGCAGGUUUAGCCUAGAACCCAGUAUUUAGGGCACAAUACGUACUUAAUGAAUGUCAAAUGUAAUGUGAUGAGCAACAUUUGUGGCAUUGACUACAGUAAAGUGCCAUUACAGAAACAGACAAACUUCACAUCUUCCAGUAGUAGAUUUUGGAAUCUUACCUGUUAAAUUGUCACAAUCAGUGGCCAACUUGACAUACAGUAUUUUUUUCCCCAGUAAAAAUAAGGAGGAUUUGUUGGUUGUGUUAUUUGUUGAAAAACUCCAAGUCCUUGUCAACUAUCUCUUCUUUGAGGGGAAUUUUAAAAAUAAUGCCUAAUGGUCAUGUCAGCAAUAAUUUGAUAUCUCAGUGUUUGAAUAGAUUGUAUAAAAAUAUAAUGUUUACAUUGCAUGUAAAUAGAUUUAAAAGUUUUUAGAUUUGUUUUAUAUUUUGCAUAUAAAUGCUUUGCUUGCGAGAAUGUAUAUGUACCACUCGUUUGCCUGAUGCCAAGAGAAGUCAGAAGAGGGCUUCAUAGUCACUGGAACUGGAGCUAUGGAUGGUUAUGAACCAUCAUGUGGGUGCUGGGAAUUGAUUCUAGGUCCUCUGCAAGAGCAACAAGGGCUCUUAACCACUAAGCAAUCUCUCUAGCCCCAUAAUGAAUUUAAUACAAUUAGUUGCAUAUAAAAUAAUGACAUAUUUAUAACAUUUAAGUAUAUCUUUAUAUAGCAUUAGAUAAAAUAUGUGUUGGGCCUGGUGGGAUACUCACAGCUUCUUGGGAGUUACAUGAGAAAGGAAGACCAAAAAUUCAAGGCCAAGAUUAGCAAGGUGGCUAGUGGGUUUAAUCCCUGAAUCCCACAUGGUAGAGGUAGAGAACUGACUUCUGCAAAUGGCCUUUUGAUGUCCACAUGUAUACUGUGGCAUGCAUACAUGAAAGAAGGAAGGAGGGAGGGAGGAAGGAAGGCGAGGGAGGAGGAGGAUGGAGGGAGAGAGAGAGAGAGAGGGAGAGAGAGAGAGAGAGAGAGAGAGAGAGAGAGAGAGAGAGAGAGAGCUUGGGCAACUUGUAAAAUUUCAAAAAAUAAAAUGUAAAAAUAAGGCUGGUGUUACAUCAUGUACAAGGUCCUAAGGGCAAUCCUCAGUAAACACACACACACACACACACACACACACACACACACCCUGAAUUCAUCACUACUUCAUUUACCUUUUAAUCCUAUUAAAGGUCCAUUAACUUCAUGGGGCUGAUUUUUGUUGCUGUUUUUCUCUUAAUCCCACAAAGAUGCAAUGUGAUAUCCAAC
rnacentral:lncRNA from 1 species